GUCUUUCUCUUGUUUUUAAACACAGGAAUCGUCGUGUAGCGCGGAAUUCGAAUGGUACACAAACGUCACUUGUACCUGCCAGUCGAGCUCUCAACAAUCUACUGCUUUCUCAAACGUACAGGAUGACGUACGAGACUUUUCUCCUAGUCACACUGGUGCAGUUGCAGGCAUCGUGCUAAGUGUUAUCGCUCUGGUAGCAGCGUUGCUUUAUUUCCGAGAUCCCAACAAACGAGCGUGUCUACGCUCCUGCAUCAAUCCGUUUUCUUCGAGAAGAGGCAGUGGUCGAGUUCAAUAUUGCAGGGUAAACACCACGGAGGAAGCUCGUCUUCUGUUAGACGUUGACCCGACACAGUGCCAAACAGAUAGCGACGAUGAUCUUUUGAACGCAUAGUCGUUUCUCGUUUUUUCCCUUUGAAACACUAUUUUAUCUAAGUUUUAAUACACGCGAGAAUAUUUAUCAAACGCGUGAAACUUGUAACGCGUAAAAUAUGCUUUCUUCUUUCUUUUUUCUCUUUUUUUUUUUGCGUUUACCAUUGGUUGUGAUUAACCGGUUAGUUAGUCACUCUGAUUUCGUGCCAUAAACUGUAAGCGAUAAGUAUUAUUUAGCGAGAAACGUAUAGUAAAUGGUAUUAAUUGUCAUACUUCAAAAAUGUUUAAUUAAUGUUUAGUUUUAUUCAAUCACUUGGAACUUCGCCGACAUAAAAACUGUUUAUUCUUAGUUGUUACAAUUUACAUGAAAAUGACUUUUCUCUUUAGUUUUUUUAUUUUACAAUGAAGUUUUCGCUACCCUUUAUGGCACGAAAUUUAUACGUAUUUAUUUCGAUAACCGAUUAUAUUGUUUAUUGAAGUUAACACAGAGACUUUUAACGCAAAACAUUCCAGUAUAUUUUUGAAAGAAGAUUAUAUUUUAUAUUUAUGAUGUUAAAAAUCAGUUUCAUGUUGUUCCUUCGAACUCGAGAAGGUAAUUUUCAAAAUUGGAUCAAAAAAAUCAGUCACGACGUAUCUCAUAGAAGUCGCUACAUUGAAUGAACUUUAACGACGAAUAUACUAUAUAAAAUGCAAUAUAAAUGUAGCAGUACCAUACGACACCGCUAAUAAAAUUUGAUGAACAAUUGAACAAAAAAAUUCUGAUGUCGCUAA